GGGGGACCUUCGGGCCUCUUGCCAUCAGAAUGUGCCCAGAUGGGAUUAGCUAGUAGGUGGGGUAACGGCUCACCUAGGCGACGAAUCCCUAGCUGGUCUGAGAGGAUGACCAGCCACACUGGAACUGAAGACACGGUCCAGACUCCUACGGGAGGCAGCAGUGGGGAAAUAUUGCACAAUGGGCGCAAGCCUGAUGCAGCCAUGCCGCGUGUAUGAAGAAGGCCUUCGGGUUGUAAAGUACUUUCAGCGGGGAUGGAUUGGCGAUGCGGUUAAUAACCGCGUCGAUUGACGUUACCCGCAGAAAGAAAGCACCGGCUAACUCCGUGCCAGCAGCCGCGGUAAUACGGAAGGGUGCAAGCGUUAAUCGGAAUUACUGGGCGUAAAGCGCACGCAGGCGGUCUGUCAAGUCGGAUGUGAAAUCCCCGGGCUCAACCUGGGAACUGCAUCCGAAACUGGCAGGCUUGAGUCUCGUAGAAGGGGGGUAGAAUUCCAGGUGUAGCGGUGAAAUGCGUAGAGAUCUGGAGGAAUACCGGUGGCGAAGCGGCCCCCUGGACGAAGACUGACGCUCAGGUGCGAAAGCGUGGGGAGCAAACAGGAUUAGAUACCCUGGUAGUCCACGCCGUAAACGAUGUCGACUUG
rnacentral:rRNA from 1 species